GUUGGGCCACAUACCAGACUGACGGCGCACCAUCCAAAGAAGGCAGCUGCCAUUGGUUUUCUUCCAUGUUGGAAUGGAGGCCAAGGAGACUGGCCAAAAGCCUAAACAUGCUUUCCCUGAUAACUCUGAACUCUAGCUUCCCCCUUCUGCUUCACAACUAUUUGCCAACUCCCGCUAAUGAGCAUGCCAGCUUCCUUGGACCCCGAGUGAAGAAGGCAUGCCUUUGUCUCUUCCUCUCUUCAUCAACCUCCAUCUUGGAGCUGCCAACUUUACAGCUUGCCUGUCCUGUUGUUUAUACCUCAAACUCUAAUUAAAUUGUCUCUGAGA